rnacentral:rRNA from 1 species
UACAGAGGGUGCAAGCGUUAAUCGGAAUUACUGGGCGUAAAGAGCUCGUAGGUGGUUUGUCGCGUUGUCCGUGAAAACUCACAGCUUAACUGUGGGCGUGCGGGCGAUACGGGCAGACUGGAGUACUGCAGGGGAGACUGGAAUUCCUGGUGUAGCGGUGGAAUGCGCAGAUAUCAGGAGGAACACCGGUGGCGAAGGCGGGUCUCUGGGCAGUAACUGACGCUGAGGAGCGAAAGCGUGGGGAGCGAACAGG